rnacentral:rRNA from 1 species
UACGAAGGGAGCUAGCGUUGUUCGGAAUCACUGGGCGUAAAGCGCACGUAGGCGGCUGUGUCAGUCAGGGGUGAAAUCCCGGAGCUCAACUUCGGAACUGCCCUUGAUACAGCACGUCUUGAGUCCGAGAGAGGUGGAUGGAAUUCCUAGUGUAGAGGUGAAAUUCGUAGAUAUUAGGAAGAACACCGGUGGCGAAGGCGGUCCACUGGCUCGGUACUGACGCUGAGGUGCGAAAGCGUGGGGAGCAAACAGG